GAUGAACGCUGGCGGCGUGCCUAAUACAUGCAAGUCGAGCGAACAGACGAGGAGCUUGCUCCUCUGACGUUAGCGGCGGACGGGUGAGUAACACGUGGAUAACCUACCUAUAAGACUGGGAUAACUUCGGGAAACCGGAGCUAAUACCGGAUAAUAUAUUGAACCGCAUGGUUCAAUAGUGAAGGACGGUUUUGCUGUCACUUAUAGAUGGAUCCGCGCCGCAUUAGCUAGUUGGUAAGGUAACGGCUUACCAAGGCGACGAUGCGUAGCCGACCUGAGAGGGUGAUCGGCCACACUAGAACUGAGACACGGUCCAGACUCCUACGGGAGGCAGCAGUAGGGAAUCUUCCGCAAUGGGCGAAAGCCUGACGGAGCAACGCCGCGUGAGUGAUGAAGGUCUUCGGAUCGUAAAACUCUGUUAUUAGGGAAGAACAAAUGUGUAAGUAACUAUGCACGUCUUGACGGUACCUAAUCAGAAAGCCACGGCUAACUACGUG
rnacentral:rRNA from 1 species